rnacentral:rRNA from 1 species
GAUGAACGCUGGCGGUAUGCUUAACACAUGCAAGUCGAACGGACUCUUCGGAUUUAGUGGCGGACGGGUGAGUAACGCGUGGUAAUCUGGCGUUGGUUUCCGGACCACCACUGGAAACGGUUGCUAAUACCGGAUUUGCCGAGAGGUAAAAGAGAAAUUGCCUGAAGAUGAGCUCGCGUCUUAUUAGCUAGUUUGUGAGGUAAAGGAUCACCAAGGCAGCGAUCAUUAGGUGGUCUGAGGGGAUGAGCAGCCACACGGGGAAUGAGAGACGGACACGACUCCUGCGGGAGGCAGCAGUGGAGAAUUUACCGUAAGGGGCAACAGGCUGAAGGAGCAAUACGGCGUGGGUGAAGACGGUUCUUGGGUUGUAACCUUUUUUCAUUAGCGAAGAACAAAGUGACGGUACCUAAGGAAGAAGCACCGGCUAACUACGUG